GGUUGCAAUCUGCACCGAAAUAAAGAAGUUUUGAGGCAGGGACCCAAGCAGAAAUUUGCCUGCAUCUCUUCAAAAGCUACUGACAACAUGAAUAAGCCAGCGGAGGAGCAAACCUCCUGAGGUGGGUUGUAAUAACUUUCUGUGGAGAGAAGAGCAAGGAAGACUUAAUAACUACUUGGUCCUUUCUUUGCUCCAGGAAUAGUGCAACUACGUGCUGUCCCUUACCUUUAGCAGAUGGUGAUUUGGAUGAUAAUCUUGCAUAGAGUCCCUCCUGCUUAGCUUGUUCACACUGUAUCUGGAAAGUACUUUCCAUGUGCUUGUGCUUCACUGAUUUCAAUAACUAUGGAAAGCAGGGAUGUGUUGAGCCUGAGUACUAAAGGUUUGGAAAUAAAGCAGCCCCAUAAGGAACCUGACUACAAGGCACAUCCUUACAGUUGCAAAUGAGCUACAAAAGAGAGGACUUUGGUCAAAAGAGAGGACAAAAGUCCUGCACAAAGGAAUCGGUGUGGAGAUCUGUAAAUGAGUGGGGUUUAUUGUGUCUGGAAGAGAUAGAACUCUGCAAUGAAACCAACCAAACCAAACCACAUUUCCCCCUCAACCAACGGGCCGUGGCCUAG
rnacentral:lncRNA from 1 species